UCCGGUUUGUCACCGGCAGUCUCGUAUGAGUCCCCAACUAAAUGCUGGCAACAUACGACGAGGGUUGCGCUCGUUGCGGGACUUAACCCAACAUCUCACGACACGAGCUGACGACAGCCAUGCAGCACCUGUGUGCAGGUUCUCUUUCGAGCACUCCCGAAUCUCUUCAGGAUUCCUGCCAUGUCAAGGGUAGGUAAGGUUUUUCGCGUUGCAUCGAAUUAAUCCACAUCAUCCACCGCUUGUGCGGGUCCCCGUCAAUUCCUUUGAGUUUUAAUCUUGCGACCGUACUCCCCAGGCGGGAUGCUUAAUACGUUAGCUGCGCCACCGAAGAGCAAGCUCCCCAACGGCUAGCAUCCAUCGUUUACGGCGUGGACUAC
rnacentral:misc_RNA from 1 species